CUAAGUUGGUCUUGUCUACCCCCAACCUAGCCCAGUGACAAGCACAUAGCAGAUGCUCAAUAAAUGUCUGUGACUACAUAUAGGUGUAAAGACUGUCUAAAGUCCAAGGGAGAUCACUGUAAGUGAGGUAAUGGAGAAGGGGGCACUUGCUUCAUGUCAUGAAAGCUGCUGUUGCUGGAUUGGGAUUGACAGGGAAGAAGGGGUGUUUUAAUCCCAGUACCCCUUGCAGUCCCUGCCUAGACCAUGUCAGAACUCCUGUCCACAUCCCUGCCGAAGCAACAUCACUUGCUACUCCCAAACGGCCCACCGCCUUGUACACUGAUGGCUUAUUCUGAAGUCUCUGCAAGGGUAACACUUGCUUUCUGAGACAGAAGAGGAGACAGCUUGCAAACAAGAGCUAUAGUUUUUUAUUUUUGGUGGUACUAGGGAUUGACUACAUCCCCAGUCAUCUUUUUUUUUUCCUUUGGUAGUAAGGAUGGAACCCAGAACUUUCACAGUAAAUUACAUCCACAGUGAUUUUUUGGUACUGUGAGUUGAACUCAGGACCUUGAGCUUGCCAGGCAGGUGCUGUGAUGCUGUACUAUAUCUCCAGCCUUCAUAGCGCUCUUUAUAUUUUUAAAUUUUGAGAGAAACUUCUGCCAAAUUCCUAAAUUGCCAGACUGUGCUUGAACCUGCAGUCCUCCUGCCUCAGCCUCCUAGAUUAUGCAGCCCUAUGCCUAGGAAGAGCGGUAUCUUCUGUGGAGUAAAAGGGGUUUCUGAGAAGCAGGGGGGCUGCUGCCUCACUUCAGAGACUGCAGGGGCACAGAGUUGUCUGCUCACCUCAACCCAAUUCUCAGAGUGGGCUAACAACCUUGUAGCACUGGAACAGUCUGGCUUCCUGGAUUACCUAAAAGUAAUCCUUGCAAUUGAGACAGAGGAGACUGAUAAACAGAGUCCUAGAUUCUGAGCAUUUCCUCCCACUCUAGGAGUGGGACCAGCUCAGCUGUAGCAAGAGCCCAGGGUGGAUGGAAACUGCAGUAGAAAGUGGAUUGAUGUGAGCUACUUUCCCAUCUCAGAGGCCUCCAGCCUGCCCACCACCCCCAGCGGAGGCCUUUGAUCCUCCACAGCUCCAUAAAUGUUUAAUGCUACUGGCUGGGCAGAAAGAGGCAGGUGCUGGAACAGGCAGACUGGGGAUAGGGCUUGAGAUCCACGAUGUUGGCUAGAUUGUUUUCAUGUAGUAGUCCUGGAAUAGGUAGGUGGAGACCCUCCCCAUCCAUGUCGAGGGAGAAAAGUCCCAGGGCUCAAGUUUGUGGCAUUAAUAAAACUCUCUGAAAACCACGAAGGGACUGAAAAUAAGACGAAUAAUCAAUUGCAGAAGCCCAAAUCCUGAUUUGAUUGAAGGAUAAAGAUGGAAAGUUAAAUGACAAUCAAAUGCAAAUACAGCUCAACAAACACCACAGCAAUUACCAGGCUCAGGAACCACAUGGUGCUUGCAGGCAGCAGGGCUUGGUAAUUUGGAAUCCUGGGCCUGUGCGGAGGUGACCGGUUGUGGAGCUAUUUUAAUGGACAGUUAAAUAGAUGCAAAAACCCCUGCAUCUACUUUGCAUACAUUGCGGAUGAAGGGAGAACCAGUGUCCAGGGAGGCUGUACUGCCUCCGAGGCUCCCUCUGUAUCAUGUCAGAAUGGAAGGGGCCCUGAGUGCUUGGGAGGUGAGGUCAGAGUGAGCAGCAGAGCAGAGAGCUGGUGUCAUUGGAUUUUUCUUGCUGGCCGGUGUUGAAGGUGCGUGGGUUGUAGUUUAUGGGAGUCUGUGGGGUCCUCCAUAAAGGGCUCAAUACACUGGCCUUCCACAACAGCCCAAAGGCUCUGGGAAGAGUGGCCUUCUCCUCUAGAUUUGCAUAAUGCCUUGCAUCUCAUUUGAAUGCUAUUAAUUUGGUAUCAGGCUAGGUUGGCACCGUGGAGGAAAGAGAACAGCUGGCCUUCUCCCUCUCCUCUGGACCCCAAGGCUUACUCUGAGCGUGACCCUCCCCAACUUGGAGGGCAUAAGGCCUCUAUGUUCCUUGGUGCUUGGAGAGUGGCUUAGUGAAGUCAGUUCCUAAAAGAACUGGCUGCCUGGGCAUUGUGGGCACUUGCAGAAUUAUGUGGAAGGAAGAAGAAGAAAGGGUCUUCCAAGGGCACCCUUGACAGACCAGACGCACCAUGGGAACCUUUCUGGGAGCCUUCAUCUCCCUGAGCAAUCAAGGCAGCUUGGCUUGGAAAGAGUCCAAAGAUAACAACCAGAAGAGGGAGGGAACAGAGACAGGUGAUAAUCCCAGAGAAAUAUAGAGAGCUCUAGAAAUAAAAUCUUCUGAACUCAAUAGUUCUCUGCGCUUGAACUUAUAUAAAAUACAUCUGUCUAGAGGCCUUAGGUUUAUGGUGCCACUCUGGAGCUAAGAACUCAGCCAGUAACCAGGUUGAUGGCCACGUGAUGAGUAGGUGAUCAGGUAGAGUGAGCUUCUGUGGGCUGCCCCUGGUAGGGGGACAGCAAGGGGCCACAGAGAUGGGGCUGGGCUGGGGGACUGAGGCUCACCCCAUCCCUCAAACAUGUCCGGGUUCUUUUCUGUGUGAAGUCGGCUAGGCUUACCCCCAAACCUAUCCUGUCACCUCCCUACUUUCUUGCCUAGAUGGGCCAACCUGGAACCUAACUUGGAACCUUGGACAACGGACCAUAGAGUAUUUAAUCAUGCAACACACAGGAAGGAGGCUGGCUGUGGGGGUCUCCACCAGCAGCUGUGCUGGAGGAGCAGCAGAGCUUCCUUUGCAGGAAUCAAGGCGGGAGGAUAUAUGGAAGGCUGAGCAGGUGAGGCUCCUGACACACAAGGAGUCUGUCUGUCUGUCUGUGGUGCCCUUGCCCACCAUCUAGACUGUAGCCAGAAAGUUCUUCUGUUGAUUGGGUCUGCUUGUUUCUUACUGGUGUCAUUGGACAGUGGUGGUGGUGGGGAGUUAUCUGAUUACUCUCUGCUUCUUGCAGAUUUGAAUCCCCAGUUUGACUGACCAUUUUUCUACUGGAUUCAUUGAGGACAGGGAUCCCCUUCUUCCUGCCGGAACAAUGCUCUCUGCAGGGGCUCUUGUUGACUGAUGUUUAAUGGAAUGUUCUGCCUCAGACCAUCAGCCACCCCCAAUGUCCCCAUGUCCAUCUGCUGGCUUCUACGUGCAACUCCCAAGCUGUCUCCCAGAGACAGGGCUCACCUUUACCUCUGACCACCUCCCGUGAGAACCCCUAGCUCGCUCGAUAAUUCCAGAUAUCUUCUCCUCAAAGGCAGGGGACCAUGGUGUGUUAACUAGCUUUUCCUAGUCAGCAUGUAGCAGGUGCUCAAUAAAUAUUCACUGAAUCAAUAAUUGAUUCAUUGAGUCAAUCCACUGGGUGAAUUCUCACUUUAUACCAAGGAUGAGCAGGUUAGAUAUUAUCUGAAAUAGAAUCCUGCUGUUCCUCCCUUAAACCAGAAGGUAGCCCAGAAAAACCUUCCAAUUUUAUUUUGUUCAAUCUUGCUUUUUAGCUAGAAGUGGCAGCUCUGAGAAAUAAGUGUUAUAAUUCCUACUUUACAGAGGAGGAAACAGACUCAGAGAAGAGAUGAAACUUGUCUAGGCUUCUGUAUGAGUCAGAUGUUCUAUGUCCAUCCACGUUUAGUCAUGGGAACAUCUAACCCUAACCUUUUUCUAUUCCAGCAGCACUGUCCCUUCUCAGUCUCAUGGAAGAGGAGGUCAGAAUCACACUCUCCGUGCAAACUACUUUCCGAGCAGGAUCGGCCACCAGCUUCUUGCACGUUGUUGGCUCAAAAUGAAUAUUAAACAUCAAACCUCACAGAGGCCAGCCCUGCAGGGCAGGAAAUGAACCAGGCCUCCUCAUGCCUGUUCAUUAUUAUAAUUAAUAUUGAGCCAGGGUUGGUGGUGACCUCGCCCUCACUAGGUAUUUGGGCUAUUUUAGAAGCUUAUUCAGAUCAAUGACAGACAGCUCCAAAUAGAUAAACUCCUCGCCAUCCAGACGAAUCAAUUGCAACACUGCCGUCACAACAAGCCCAAGAAAUCAAUCUGAUUUCAGGCGACAUGGUAACUCAGCGCUGGGCAAGCUGGUUUUAAUUUCCGUGUGGCCGAGACCCAGCUUCCUGUGUUCACUGGAGUCCCCUUUUUUUCCCAGCUGGAGCUUCAUGCCUAGGUGCCCAGAGUCUUGGGAAGGCUGAGGCCAAGAGGGCAGCUGCAUAGAGGGCAGGGUGACCCAGAGGCAGUGCGACUUUGAGGAAGGCCCUUAAACCCCCAGACCCAGAAGGAGCUGACUCAGGUCCACUGCUGGGAUCCUUGUUUUGCUGGCUUCAGCUCUGAUUUUCUGCUUUCCUCUGCAAAAUCCAAGCCUGGAGGCCCUUCUGGGCUGCUUCCCAAAUCAGAGAGCUUCAGAGGUAGGCUGCUACCUCAGGUACUAGCACAACUGCCCUUCUGGUACUUGGAGACAAGUGUGUCUACCAGGGCAGAAAAGAAAAACACCUCGCCAUGACAGACUCUAUUAGGUGUUUACUUUGUACAUAGGCUCUGUGCUAAGUACUUUACACCACCUUCUUUUUAACCCCCACAACAGCCAAAGGAGAUGCUUUCUUGGGGGGAAGAGGAUACUGGGACACAAACUCAGGACCUCACACUUGCCAGGUAGGUGCUGUACCACUGAGCUAAAUCCCCAGCCCCCAAGGAGAUACUUUAGGUAAUAAUUAUCCACCUUUUGCUGGGGAGGAAACCAAAGCUCAGAGAAGUUGAGUAACUUGUCCUGAAUCACAAAGCUUGUUGAGUGCAAGAGCCUAGAUGUGAGCCCAUGCUGGUCAGAGUCCUAUAUCUAAGCUUCAAGCCCCGUACUCUGCUACAGAUGACAUCGGAGGUGCCCUCAGCCUCCACUUGCUGGAUCAAUGAAGCCAGUGCUUUUCUUCCAGGCUGCCAGGAAGGCAAAGCUCUUCUUAUGAAUUCUCAUAAUCAGCAAUUAUUCCUUUGAACUUUCACCUCACUGCUGCAGUACUGAGCUGACAGUGUUGAGGAGAGGCUGCAGGGCCCUCUGGACACUGAAGUCAGCAGUGGAGAGUGACAGAAUGUCACAGAACCAGCAAACGACAGAUGCAGACUCAAACCCAGGUUUCUCAAGAGCUCAGAAGUAAUCACAUCUGGUUUGAUUAGCUUCACAUUUCCAUUUACGACAUCCCCGCCCAGAGAAGGCAGGAAACCUCUCCAAGGUCACCCAGCAAGGACUCCGGGACUCGCGCUGGCCUUGUCCCCCUCCUCUGCCUCCAGCUCCUGUCCCCAACCACCUCGACGCUGAGAGCUGCCCAGGCGCACAAAAGCGGCGGGGGACCGGGAUGGGGGGGGGACUCUAAUUGAAAUGCUCUGGGCGCCGUUUGCUCGCUCUGCGAACCUGGCGGGGUUUGUGGGAGCCGGAGCGGGCGGGGCGGAGGGGCGAAGGGGCGGGCGGCGCCGGGCGCCCACGUGGGCAGGCAGGCCGAGCUGCUUUCCUGGGCAGCCAGUGCCGCGUGCUUCUCGUAAUGAGCUCCCAGGGCCCGAGGUGAGCUUCCCCGGCUGCUCACACGGCAGCUGCAUGGCACCAAAGAACACGGGGACUUUUUUUCUUCCGUGCCUGACAGCUCAUUAGAAGAAUUAAUUUACUCCAGCGUUUGCAGUUUAAAGGACAUUAUUUACUGGUUAAUUGUUGUUAUUACAAAAUGUUAAAUAUCAUUAUUUAUUUCCCAGGCCUUGACAACUUCUCUGACAGGAAUUUAUUGGGUGAGGCUGGAUCGCUAUGGGGUCCCUGUGCAGGGCAGUGUUGGUUGGGGGGCUGCUCCUCGGCCUGGACUUCUGGGCAGGGUAGGCACUUGGUGGGGUAGCAGGACAUGAGGGGAUAUAUCUUGGCUCAAUGGAGGACAAGCUGUCACUGUCCCCAGUCCACCCCAUUUCUAUCCACUGAUGAGCGCCAGGGUGGGGAAAAGAAAAGGGGUGACCUGUAUUUGCAUAAAGCUGAAGUUUAGGGGUCAGGGUGGCAGUUGCCAGAGGUUCAGUGGCCAGAAUGAGGCCAGGAUCUUAGGUCCUUCCUCGAAAAGGUUAUUUCCAACAGUGUAAGUCUUCAGGCCACUGCCCUGAAUUCACAGGCUUUAUGAAGCUGAGUGGUCAGCCCGGGCAAGGGUCACACAGUGGGCUCCCAGCUGUGCAUGGCCUAUGGAUUUGACCUGACCCUGGGAGACUUCCCAUAAAAAUCCAGCUUUCUGGCUUCUCCGGAUAAUCAGGGACUCUUGCCACACUUGACCCACAGUCAAAUGUCAAAUGUCGGUCGUGCUGCAGUGCAGUGCCUCUGAAUGUCGCAUCCUCCACCUCUUGUUUCCCUCUCUAUUAUUUUUUUGGUUUUGUGGGCAUUUAAGUUUUCAAGCCCAACUUGCUCUAAGGAUCAUACAUAUACGAAGAAACUGAGCCUACAUAGGUCCCAUCUCCAAGGCCUCGGACCGAAGCUCAGUCCAUGUUUUAACCCCACUGUACCCCCCAGCCCCCCUCCACCUGUCUACUCACAUCUCCUCUGGUCCAGCUUGGAGUGAGCUCUAGUCAGGAAGAAGAGGCAGCUCUAUAAGUUGCAUUCAUUAUUCAUUUGGUAAAUCAUCUUGGAGGGCCUACUGUGUGCCAUAAAAUGAUUUGGGCCCAAAAUGUGCUUUCGAUUUGGCCGGCGAAGCUGUACGUGACACAGGCACAGGGUUACAAUGAAGAGAGAUGGCAGAGGCAGAGGAGGAUGUGACUGGCAGGGCGGGUUGGAGGGAGACUUCCCAGGGUUCUCUUCUCUCAGUAUAGUUGAUUGAAAAUAGAUGUCAUCAGUGGAUGGGGAGUAACUGUAUCAGGUCUGAGAGCUCCCAGGUGGGAGCCUGUAAGAUGUUCCAGCCCUGAGGACCCCUCUGUUCCUUGAUGGACAGUCUUGUUGUCACCACACCUCACAACUAGUUUUGGGGCAAGGUGGAAUGCCCUCGUUUGACAAGGCAGCAGCUCAGAGGCAGAUGGCCACACUGGGUAUACGGGGGAGAUGGCUCUGGAAAGGAGAGACAUUGCUGUCUGAGAGCAUGGCCCAGCCCUGGGAAGUACAGAUCUUGCAGACAGACUUCAAACAAUGAAUGACCCUUUAGACGAGGUCUUUGUUCCCUUCCUUUCCUCCCUGGGAGCCUGACAGCAGCAGGUAGCCUCAAGGAAAAUUUGGAGAACCAAAGGAAGAUGAAAAGUACUUUGAAAAAGUAUGAAAACAGUCUCAGCAGAGCCAUUAUCGUUGCUGUGCCGUAAAUUAUUAUAAGUUAUUUCUGGCUGGCAGCCUGGUUUAUUUUAGACCCUACUUCAUUUCUUCCAGGUCAGAGAUCCCAAUUCCUGACCUGGCAAGACAGAUAUCACACUAUUCGAGCAAAUCCUGAGCAGAUCAAAAACUAUAAACGCAGCUUGAAGAAUUUUACACAUUCUCAGAAUUUUAAGGCUUGCCAUUCUUUGGAGGUCUUCUCACCAGCCCUCUCAUUUUAUUUUAUCGCCAUAUUAAAUUUUUAAAAAUUUUUAUUCAUUUCUAGAAUAGAGAGUACAUGCCCAAGGUACAAAAUCUAAAAGGCGCAGAAGAGCAAACAGUAAACGGCACUCCCAGUCCUCGGAGGAAGCUACUUGCUUCACUAUAUUUAAAAAUAUCAUUGUUUUUCUGUCUUGUUCAUGUAGCAAAUACAAUAACUCCUGCAGAAGAAAAUAAAAAUCAUUUGCAGUUUGCUAUUUAGAGCUGAAUCCGGGCACAUUGUGGUGUCUAAUAGCCACUCUUUUCUCUUUGCAGGGACACAUGCAUCUAUGGUUACCAACUUGCAUAACCUGAUUUUAUUACUUGUUUACAUUAAAUAUGGUUCUUCAAAAAUAAAAAGCAAGAGGAUACA